CCUACGGGGGGCAGCAGUGAGGAAUAUUGGUCAAUGGACGAGAGUCUGAACCAGCCAAGUAGCGUGAAGGAUGACUGCCCUAUGGGUUGUAAACUUCUUUUAUAUGGGAAUAAAAUGUUCCACGUGUGGGAUUUUGUAUGUACCAUAUGAAUAAGGAUCGGCUAACUCCGUGCCAGCAGCCGCGGUAAUACGGAGGAUCCGAGCGUUAUCCGGAUUUAUUGGGUUUAAAGGGAGCGUAGGUGGAGUGUUAAGUCAGUUGUGAAAGUUUGCGGCUCAACCGUAAAAGUGCAGUUGAAACUGGCAGUCUUGAGUACAGUAGAGGUGGGCGGAAUUCGUGGUGUAGCGGUGAAAUGCUUAGAUAUCACGAAGAACUCCGAUUGCGAAGGCAGUUCACUGGACUGCAACUGACACUGAGGCUCGAAAGUGUGGGUAUCAAACAGGAUUAGAUACCCCAGUAGUC
rnacentral:rRNA from 1 species